rnacentral:misc_RNA from 1 species
GAUGAAGAACGCAGCGAAAUGCGAUACGUAAUGUGAAUUGCAGAAUUAAGUGAAUCAUCGAGUCUUUGAACGCACAUUGCGCCCCCUGGUAUUCCGGGGGGCAUGCCUGUCCGAGCGUCAUUGCUGCCCUCAAGCACGGCUUGUGUGUUGGGCCUCCGUCCUCCUCCCGGGGGACGGGCCCGAAAGGCAGCGGCGGCACCGCGUCCGGUCCUCGAGCGUAUGGGGCUUCGUCACCCGCUCUUGUAGGCCCGGCCGGCGCUUGCCGACACAUCAAUCUUUUUUCCAGGUUGACCUCGGAUCAGGUAGGGAUACCCGCUGAACUUAAGCAUAUCAAUAAGCGGAGGA